CCCAUUGAAGGCACUUUUAGUGGUUGACAUGCGUUAUCAUGGGCACUUUGACUGGUCUGCAACUACGCAGCAAACUGAUGCACUGUGUGUUCUGACACCUUUGUAUCAUGGCCAGCAUUAAGUUUUUCAGCAAUUUCAGCUACAUUAGCCGUAAUCUGAACAGACAAUCUAGACAUCGCUCCCAACAUGCGUCAAUGAGCCUUGGGUAUCCCUGAUUCGAACACCUGUUGUUCUUCCCUCCACUACUUUUGGUAGAUAUUAAGCAAUGCCUACCAGGAACACCCCACAAGCCCUUAUCAAAG